GGUGGGUGGGCGCUGCCGCCGUUGAUCCGGAAUUUCAAGAUGUUCUGAAUAGCCACAAGCUAAAAAUUGUGGCUGGGAUCUGCAACGACGUUCCUCCAGUCCAUCGCCAACAGCUGCAUUCAUCCAAGGAUGAUGCAAGCCAUUUACCAGAAAGAAGAAGCAGAUUUUUGGCGAGGAUUACCUGCCUGGAGUGCAAGGCGGGGGCGCAGCGAGGAUCAGGCUGGCCAGCGGGGCGAGGACCAAGCUGGGGCGGAGGCGGCCAGGCUGGGGCGGUGGCGAGGACCGGGGCGGCGAGCUGGGUCGGAGGCGGCCAGGCUAGGACGGCGGCGAGGACCAAGCUGGGGCGGAGGCAGUCCUGCUGGUUGAGGGAGGAGGAGGAGGGGCUGGCGACGGGGACGAGCGCUGACCUGGAGGAAGACGACGACGAUCUGUUUUUAAAAUCAGGGUAGUUCUGUACUUUUGUUUGUUUUCACCUUUUUUUUGCAUACUAAUUGGAGAGCUUUAUUCAUCGAAAAGCAUUCAUGGAUGAGUCAGCCAAUAGGCUGGUCACCAGGAAGCUUGGAGUAUCAUCUAGCCAGCUAUCUGUUACAUCCGGUGCACAGGCACGCUUUGUACAAAGAUGCGCAGGAAGAUUAGCUGAUCUACUUACAUGUCGAACAUCGAAAGAUGUAAAGUAAGUACUGAGCUCUCCUAUCUCAUCUAAUAAAUAGGCCACAAUAGAACGUGAAUUGUGA